AAAACCCAGACAUUGUCAGAGUAGAUUUUAAAGAAGACCCACAAGCAACCCACUUUACUUAAAAAAACUAAAUAUAUAGUCUUAAAAUAUAUAGCUUAAAAGUAAGUGAAUGGAGAAAGAGAAAGCAUGCUAACACUAACCAAAAGAAAGCAGGAAUAAUUGCAUUAAUUCCAAACAGAGCAGACUUCAGACCAAGGAAAGCUAUCAGGGAUAAAGAGAAGCAUUACACAAUGAUAAAGGGGGCAAUCCUCUAAGAAGAAAGACAUAACCACCCAUUAUGCGUAUGCGCCUAACAACAGACCAUCAAAAUACGUGAGGCAAAAACUGAGAGAACUGUAAAAAGAAACACACGAAUCCACGAUUACAGUUGGAGACUAAACACUCCUCUAUCAGACAUGGACAGAUCCAGCAGGUGGAAAGUCAAUUAGAACACAGCUGAACUCAGCAACCCCAUCAAUCAACCGGACGUAAUGGACACCGACAGACGACUCCGCAACAACAGCAGACACACAUCUUCUCAAGCUCACGGGCACCAUUCACCAAGGCAGACCACAUUCUGGGCCAUAAAAUGCACCUUAACAAAUUUAAAAGAAUGGCAAUCAUACAUCUACUAUUAGACCAUGAUGCGGGGUCGGUGAGCCGAGGAGUCGAAAGAAAGAUUUCUUAGACUCUCAAGAUCUGGCAGUAGUGCUCUUUUAUUUAGAGAAUAGAGAUAGAGUAGCAUGGGGACAGGACCCAUGGGCAGUCAGAGCUUCUGCUGCUGCCGCUCCGAACUGAGGGUUAGGGCCAAAUUUAAGGCAUAGGUGUGUGAGUUAUCUCUUUAUUAGUGCCCGUUUGGUCUGGCCAUUUGGCGGUCCCACAACUUUUAGAUAAGAAUCAAAUCGGAUUGAGUAAAUGGCAGAAGUCACCGCUUGAAUUUUAUCCUCGACUAAAGAUAAAAGGAGGAUUUGUCGGGGGGAGGGUCAGUUACAUGAGGUUGCCAGACAGUUUCCAGAGAUAAGGCCAUCCCCCCUUCCUCCUGGCUCAGAGAGGGAGGCAUGAAGAUUUCCUUUACAAAUGCAAUUGUCUCUGAUCAAAGGGCAAACAAAUUCCACUCCUUGGAGCCUGCUUCUUAUCUGUAGUUUUAAAAGUAACCAGCCUAAAAAUCCUCAUCAUAAACCGUUUUAAAAUUAAGCAGCCUAAAAAUCCCCAUCAUAAACCCCCCCGAACCCAUUUUGGCCCCAAAAUCUUUUGGGGAUAUGGGCGAUGGUCAGUCUUCUGUAACUACUUCCGGCUGUACAAGGUCGUAGAGCUGUCCCUAAAUGGGGCCAUGGGUACAGGUAGCAGGCUCAGCGGAACGGAAGGCUGCGCCGGUGGUGUCCAAGGCUGACAAGGUGUACAGAUCCUCUGGCGACGAGAGAAUCAUUUGACGAGAGGUGGUCCAGGAGGUGAAACUUUGUUGACAUGUGGAAGACAAACAACGAAAUAGACAACAAAUUAUAAUAAGAAAUACAAGCAAGAUGAUUAACCCAAUGAAUAAGGUUUUGAUAGUAGUCCAGAAACCUGGACCUGACCAAGAGUUCAACCAAUCAUUUAGAGAUAGGGUAGGGUCAGACAUGGACUUAACUUGGUGGCUCAUAUCAGAUAGGAAGCCAGAGAUAUUUUGACGGUAGUCAGGAAUAUAAACACAACAUUCAGUUUUU
ensembl:lncRNA